rnacentral:tRNA from 1 species
GGGCGGUUAGCUCAGUUGGUUAGAGCGCUACGUUGACAUCGUAGAGGUCACUAGUUCGAAUCUUGUACCGCCCA